rnacentral:lncRNA from 1 species
GAGCCGUGCCUCUCAUUCACCUCUGCUCCACACAGCCCGGCGUGUCUGCGCAGAAUGGAUGCUUCUCAUUGCUCCGAGGCACUUGAGCCCUGUGGACUUUCCCUGAAGAGGUUCCAAGAUAGGUGGCAGCUCCAAACCCCGUGGUUGCAUUCCCCUCCAGCCAAAUGCUUUCUCUGCACCCCGACCGAACAGGACAGAGGGCUUGGCCGUGUUCUUCAUCCUUCCCAAACUCCCUCCCUAGCGAGGGAGCCGUUCUGUUUCUGGCUAAACAAAGGAACAGAGGAGAAGACACAAUAAUACGGGCUGUGAAAGGACAACAACAGCAGAAGUUGGUUGUUUUGUGUCACCUCUCUUCAUAUCCUGCACAGCUCAAGCCCAGCUGUCUCCAUGAGCCCUGCAGGACCACGCAGAGGUUGAGAAGGACGAGCAGGAAGGACGCCGGAGGUCUUCUGGAGUUUCCUCAUUAGAAGCCGUUCCUGUGAAUUCCAUCCCGUGGAGAGAUCCGAGGUGGCUGGGCUGGAGCUGUUGUCUGGGUAAUCAAUAAACUUUCAGCUGCGUGAUUUUUUUUUUCCUUG